UCUGUGGUGGCCCAACAGUUAAGGCAAUGGACUAGUGAUCAGAAGGUUAUAGGUUCAAUUCCCACUCUCUGAU